rnacentral:rRNA from 1 species
ACUCCUACGGGAGGCAGCAGUGGGAAGUAUUGCACAAUGGGGGAAACCCUGAUGCAGCCAUGCCGCGUGUGUGAAGAAGGCCUUCGGGUUGUAAAGCACUUUCAGUAGGGAGGAAGGUAGUGUAGUUAACACCUGCAUUAUUUGACGUUACCUACAGAAGAAGCACCGGCUAACUCCGUGCCAGCAGCCGCGGUAAUACGGAGGGUGCGAGCGUUAAUCGGAAUUACUGGGCGUAAAGCGCAUGCAGGCGGCCUGUUAAGUCAGAUGUGAAAGCCCGGGGCUUAACCUCGGAAUUGCAUUUGAAACUGGCAGGCUAGAGUCUUGUAGAGGGGGGUAGAAUUUCAGGUGUAGCGGUGAAAUGCGUAGAGAUCUGAAGGAUACCAGUGGCGAAGGCGGCCCCCUGGACAAAGACUGACGCUCAGAUGCGAAAGCGUGGGGAGCAAACAGGAUUAGAUA